AUUGAACGCUGGCGGCAGGCCUAACACAUGCAAGUCGAGCGAGCGGCGGACGGGUGAGUAAUGUAUGGGGACUGCCCGAUAGAGGGGGAUAACUACUGGAAACGGUAGCUAAUACCGCAUACUAUCGGAUAACCCAUAUGGGAUUAGGUAGUAUGUGAGGUAAUGGCUCACCUAGUCGACGAUCCCCAGCUGGUCUGAGAGGAUGAUCAGCACAACGGGGAUGGGGAAGCGGACCAUACGCCUAGGGAGGCACCAGUGGGGAAUAUUGCACAAUGGGCGCAAGCCUGAUGCAGCAAUGCCUCGUGGAUGAAGAAGGCCCUAGGGUUGUAAAGGUCUUUCAGUCGGGAGGCGUUACCGACAGAAGAAGCACCGGCUAACUCCGUGCCAGCAGCCGCGGUAAUUC
rnacentral:rRNA from 1 species